CGUGGCCUGAGAGAAAAUGCCCUGAAAGUCUCUACCUUGAACUCUUGCCAUUGUUAAUUAACCACAUCAUCUCUCUCUCUUGCGCGGUGCUCUCCGGCAGUUCGUUUGUCUCGGUCUCUUCACUUGGCAGUUGGAGAAGCUCGAACACAGAGGAUCAACGUUUCGGCCAAUUGUCACCCGUCGAGCCCCAUCUGCAGAAGCCAAAAUAAACUGAAGUUCCCCAAAUGCCAGAUGAGCAUGCUGACCAUGAGGCAGAGCGGCCGGGGGGGUUUACAGCCCAGAGGGAGCUGCACUGCCUGACCUGCAGCUCCCGGCGAGUGGAGAUGCCACAUCCAGAAACAACCAAAGACUGUAAAGCUUCAGCAAAAGGGAGUCAAACGCUCCCAGCGCCGGCUGCGCAGCCUCGGCUUCCUCUGGGAUCGCUGGAUGAAGGGGGAAGAUGUUUCUCCCUGCGAUGGUGGGACCUGGUUUGAUUUCAUGUAGCAGCAGUAAAAGGAGUUCCCUGCCCCAUGGAUGGAUGGAUGGAAACCUGCUGAGCUCCUGCCAGUCAGACCCUGCAUCCCUUCCCUGAGGUCAGUGGGGAGAUCUCCCAGCGUGGCUUUUGGGAUUUCUCCACUCUUUUUGGGCACGGGGUAUGGCUCAGGCUCAGCACUUGUAGCAGAGGGACAAAUGCCCAGGUCCUGCUCCUGCUGAGGGGCUGGUUCCCCACAGGCUCGUGCCUUGCUGGCUCUGGCAUCAGAGAAGAGUUGAAUCCACCCACCUGCAGUGGGUGCAUGAAACUUGGAGGAAAUUAGUACUUUUGGGACCUCGUUGCUCUGCUGAGCAGGGGUGAAACCAGCUGCUGGAUCCAGGAGCUACUGGGAUGGACGUGCUGGUGCAGAGAGUGGCUGUGUACAUCUUCCUCAGAACAACCACCUCAUCCCUGAGGACCUGGUGUGAAGGUACUUUUUGUGUUCCUGACCUUUUAGAUGCCACGUUGCCUCUUUCUCUGUAAGGCAGAGCGUCUGGUCAGCUCUGCUCUCUAACUGGAAGCAGCACCUGAUGCAGCAAUAUAUUCUGGGGCUGAAGGGUGGCCAGUGACCCCCUGCAACCCUGGGCUGAUGGCCAGAGGGAGGAGAGCCAGGGCACGGCACAUAGCACUGCUCUCCAGCUGAGCACACAGCUGAGGACUGGCUACUGAAGGCAAUGUAUUUCCUGAUUUACACUGCAUCCCAAUUUACACGUGAUUAAUUGAAACCUCUUGUUGCUAUGGGACUGACAUCUCCCUGCCUCACCUUGGCUUUCACCUUUUGUUUUCCAGGUAACUGGUCUUUGUUCUUUUAUUUUCCUGCUGAGACGUGGUGGGAAAGCUGGGGCUGGGGAGGGCAGUGGGAGGAGGGAGCUGUAGAUUGUAAUAGGAUAUAAUGGCUUUGUGUAAAUACGUAGACAGCUUUUGCAUACAGUAUGGCAGAAAUAAUCUGCUUUUCAUGGAUC
rnacentral:lncRNA from 1 species